AUUCUUUUUUAAAAAUUAUUGUUGAAUUUGAUGUCCUUUUUAUUUUUUAUUUAUUUAUUUAUUUAUGUAUUUAUUUAUUUUAACGUUUAUUCAUUUUUGAGACAGAGAGAGACAGAGCAUGAACAGGGGAGGGGCAGAGAGAGAGGGAGACACAGAAUCGGAAGCAGGCUCCAGGCUCUGAGCUGUCAGCACAGAGCCCGACGCGGGACUUGAACUCACGGACGGUGAGAUCAUGACCUGAGCCGAAGUCGGACGCUUAACCGCCCAAGCCACCCAGGCGCCCCUGAUGUCUUUUUAUGGUAGUGUUCCCCCCCCUAAAAUCUUGAUGAUACUUGGUUUCCACUUAGCUUUGUGUUGAAAUUUUCUGGCCGUGUGCCCAUCAUAUCUUGUGUUCUGGGGAGAUGUGAGAGUGAAUUGGAGAAGCCAUGUUGGUAAGGGAAUCUACCUUUAGCUUCUCCUGAGUACGGAAGCCUUUAGUGCCCAUGGGGAUGUGUAAUUCCCCAGAUCUUGCUUUUCCAGCACCAAUGUCUACACUCAAGCUUUUUCCAUGGGCAAAACCCCAGUUCAACAAAUAGCCCACUUCCCCCCCUCUCCCAAGUCAUCUUCCCAUUCAUCACCUUCUGUGUAUGCUACUCUUUAGCUUCAUCGCGUCUGAGCUGAGUGCUCUUCUGGGUGCUCUUAAUGUGCUCCCCACAUUAAGCUUUGUUUCCCUUUCUUGAUUCAUCCAUAGUGCUGACCCUUAGGGCUUUCUGUUAGUAAUUCUUCAACUGUUCUGGUCCGUUGGGGACACUCUUGUUUUCCAAGAUAAUGUUAAUUUAUUGUUGAUAUUGAUCAGGCUUAAAGUUUGCCUCAGCUCCAAAAACACAAAGUCUGACAUAAAGUAUGUCUCCUGAUCCAGUCUUUUAACCGUCCCUUUGAUGUUUGAUAUUAACUUUUCAUAUCUUGAAUCAUCAGCUCUCCUAAAGUGGGUAAAUAGUAUCUCCAUUACAGGUAUUCUUAUUUUAGCAGAGCAGUAUAGAUUUUUUUGCUUAGAAAAAGUAAGAAGUCCCAAGCAUAUACACUUAUGUUUUUCUUGUGGAAUUAUUUGUGUUUUUAAUGUAGGGUGGGUCAUAGUUAAUGCUUAAUAUAUAUAUAGUUAAUGCUUAAUAUAUGUGGUGUGUAUUUCCUUCUGGUCUUAUCUAGGUAAUUUCUAUAUCACCAGGUGAAGUAGUAAAUUUCAAGUCCAGCACAUUGGUUCUUAUCUACAUGAUAGAUUUCCGUGUCCUUUUAUUUUCUACAGGAUUAUCAGGGCAGACACUCCACUCAUGUCUUUACGAGAAUUGGCUUCUAUCCCUUAGUAGAUAGAAACAAGCAAAGACUGUUGAAUAAACAGGGUCAAAAGCCAAAAAACCCAUCUUCUGAACGUCCCUCCGUGAAGUGAGGCUUGUUGCUUUCGCCUUUGUGUUUCUGCAUUCUCUUUGCAGCUUUGCCUAAUUGCCCAGAUUACAAUCUAUAUCUCCUUCAAGUACUAGUGCAGAAGAGCCUUCUGGGGAGGUUAUCCGAGGAAAGACUGAAUCUCUAAUAAAAUGAACGCUGACCUAGAACCAGACAAAAACCGUGUGUUGGUGGGAAUUCUUUCCCCCAGGGGAUCAAAAUCAACAGUGGCACACUUCCCACGACUAAACAGAAAACCCCCUCAAAAGCAAAGCCCAUCAGAAACAAGUUUCAAUAGGAAUGAUUUCACGAACUCAGAGAAGACCAGGAGAGCAGAGAAAAACCAUCGAGAAAUCUCUGCAGUGACUACAUAGGAGUCAUUACAGGAAAGACUGGGGACAUUUGCCUUCAUUUGUUCUGGCAUGAGAGAUAAAUCGGGGCCUGCUUUUCUCUGCAGCCUUACGUAACAGUCUUACUUUUUCAGGUUGAAUGGAGCUCACAGUGGUUCCUAACCUCAUUCUCUUCUAACUAAAAUUGUGACUCAUUUUAGAUAUGUAAUUGCCUUAGUCUUUCGUUUUUCAGUGGAGCUAAAGGGAGGGAGGAGGAGGGAGGGGUAGAAGGAGAUGGGAGGGGCAGGUCCUUAAGGGGAAGCCCAAAAGACGGGAUGAAAGGUACUAAUGCUGGCAAAGAAGCCCAGGCUUCUGCCUGCUUGGGUUUCUGGGACUCAAUCCUCCUCUGCUUGGAAUGUUGCCUCCUUUCUAUCUGGGCUUGAACGUCAUCUCCUCUGGGCAGGCUGCCCUGCCCCCACCCCCACCCAGGCCAAACCUGUCCCUAACUUUCUGUCCUUAUCCUGCUUUAGAUACUCAUGUGAUUACGUCCCCUACUGGACCUGAAGGUCACAAAGACAGUGUCUUGAUUUUGCUAAUAAGCCACACGGCCAAGUGACUAGAGCAUCAGCAGCGUACUUUGCUGAAGGGGAGGAUGACUUUUCUCCCCGUCAUCUAAACUGACAUUCUGGGGCGCCUGGGUGACUCAGUCAGUUAAGACUCUGGCUCCUGAUUUGGGCUCAGGACAUGAUCUCCUGGUGGUGGGAUCGAGCCCCACCGUCAGGCUCCACACCAGGUGUUAGGGAUUCUCUCUCUCCUCUCUCUCUCUGCCUCACCCCUGCUCUUGCACCUGCGUGCUCUCUCUCUCUCUCUCUCAAAAAAAAAAAAAAUUAAUACAUAAGAAAUAAACCGACAAUCUGAUUAGGUGUGCGUCUGAGUCAUUGGGGAAAGUGAAGUGUGCCUGGAGCUCAGCAGAAUGUUUUCCGUUUUCGCCUUGUCUCCCUUGAGUUUCCAUUUUCAUGCACCUGCUCCUCUCUCAAGCUUGGCCUCAAAGUGCAAAACAUGACUUUGCUAUUCUGCUGAAGGGCUUCUGCCUUUUUGUUAUCUGUUUAAACAUCUCCCUAACAACAUUGGUUUUCUUUGUAGAAUACAAUAAGAACGCAGUUAUAAAGUCCCUGGGGUAAAUUGGUUAUACGUUUUCUGAACUGGAAAUGAAAUAUUAAUGACAUAAGAGUUCAGACACUUAUAUUGAUAUUCCUGCAGGAAGUAGUCUCUUUGGAUAUCGAAUUUGUGACAUACUCUUUUCGAGACAAGGAAUAUUUUGACUGCAAAAAGUAAGCAGAGGGGGGAGUUUUUUAAAAUGAUAAUAGAAAAGCCCAAUUAUCAUUCAAAAUAGAAUUUGUCACCCUGAUAAUUUAAUGUUACCAAGUGAAGCAUCAUCUUCACAAAAGUUUAAAAUUGAGGGGAAAUAAAAACUCUGUGAAGCAAUUUUGCCUAAAGAAUUAACUAAAUGUAAUAAUUUAAUACGAAAGAGCUUUUAGGGGCACCUGGCUGGCUCAGUUGGUAGAGUGUAUGACUCUUGAUCUUGGAGUUGUGAUUAAGAGUCUCUUUCCAGGGUGCCUGGGUGGCUCAGUCAGUUAAACAUCUGACUCUUGAUUUUGGCUCAGGUCAUGAUUUCAUGGUUCAUGGGAUCAAGCUCUGUGCUGACAGCAUGGAGCCUACUUGGGAUUCUCUCUCUCUCUCUCUCUCUCUCUCUGUCUUCCUUCCACCCGCCUCAAAAUAAGUAAAAAUUAAAAAAAAAAAAAAAGGUUCUCUCUCCCCCUCUCCCCCAUCUGUGUGCUCUCUCUCUCUCUCAAAUUAAAAAAAAAAAGAAAAGAAGUAUACUAACUUGGACAAGUCUGUAUAUGAAGGUUAACUGUCUUCUAUUGUAGUCUGGCCAUGAAUACAGAGGAAACGAUUGUGUUGAAGCAAACACACCCAUUUGGUCAUUUAUGGAUAUAGCACAUUAAUAGCUGGAGAAUAUCCAACACCUGCUGAGAUCAUAGCAUUGUAUUAUUUAAAUUAAGCCUAACCUGCUCUAUCAUGUUCAAGGUUCAAAUAAGGUCACAUCUCCCUUUAAUCAAUGGGGCCCUACUUGCCAGCUUAUGCGACGAAUCUGCUUUCUCCCCUGGGGGGCUUUCUCGAGAACAUCAACGGGUUACACAGCCGAGCCUGGCCAGGCCUGUUUCCAAACAUCUCGCCAACAGAAUCUGAAGAAUACGAUUAGUCCGCUGAUGGAGCUCACAUUUGCUGAGGUUGCUGCUUCCACAGAUGCCCUCGGUUUAUGCUUAUAUGUUCUGCCUCAGUUCCCAAAGCACGGCUUUCUUGCCAGGAUAAGCCGUGCAUUCCGCUGGAACCAGCUGUCAGUAAUCUAGACCCUGAUAUCAGGCCUUGGAGUCCAAGCAAGUUUGUCUUUUCUUUCUUGGCAAGAUUCCCCUUGCAUACUGUUUCAACCCCUUAAGGAGAAUCAGGACCCCAAAGGGUAGGACUUGUAAGCCUCUCCACGUUCCCCAAAGCUCCCAGUUCUUCAAGCAGAUUAUACCACCCUCUCCUCAAAAAUGGACCACUCCUGUUGGGGCUCCUGGGUGUCUCAGUCAGUUAAGCGUCCGACUUCAGCUCAGGUCAUGAUCUCACGGUUCAUGGGUUCAAGCCCCGCGUCGGCCUCUGUGCUGACAGCUCAGAGCCUGGAGGCUGCUUCAGAUUCUGCGUCUCCCUCUCUCUGCCCCUCCCCUGCUCAUGCUCUGUCUCUCAAAAAUAAACAAAUGUUAAAAAAAAAUUUUUUUUUUUAAAUGUACCACUCCUGCCUACCAUGGAGUAUUGGAGAAGCAUACGUUGGUAAACCAGAAACAUACCAACUUCAACCAAAAAUAAAAAUGAAGAAGCAAUGCUUCCUUAAACCAAGAAAAUAUGCUUUGGUUUAUUUACUACUACCAUCUAGGAUGAGAGGUGACCUACAUUAGUUAAAUAGCAAUCUCUCUAGGUAAAUUAAAUUCAGCACUAAGCGGUAAAACAAUAUACAACGUACACCAGAGUUCAAAACCAGUUUAUUACUCCACCCUUUCUUGCACCAACAUCACUUUCUUCCAAGUUUGUGCAUAUAUUAUCUGUAUCUCUGGAUGAAGGACCUUUUUAAUCUGACUCAUUAACGAAGAAUGGGGCUACCUUUACAGCUUUCAAAUGUAUAUUUCAUGGUACAGACAGCCAAGAAAUAGCUCUUAACUCAAACUAUAACUUCCUGUAGCUUUGAAAUCCUUAUUUAACUUCAAAGGCUCUCUUCUUGGAAAAGAAUUAUGAAUCAAAUCUAAGUAAUCUGACUAAAAAUCAGUAGGAAAUAGGAGGGAUUUGUUGCAGAUGGGUUACAAUUUGAUUAUUUCCCUCAUGCUCUGUAAAUCGUGACAGUCUGACCAUAAUCAGAUGUAGACUUAAUAUCUGAAUCAAAUAAAAUCAAAUAAACCAAGAGACCUCUUUAGUUAUCUUUCCACCUAGUUUUUAAUAUGAUGUCUUUAGAUUCUGAAUCUUCAUGGUAGGGGCUUUUAAAUAUACUUUCUUAAAAAAAAGCAUGUCUGGUUUUUAUUUUCCUCUUAAUAUUUAUGUAUGCGCUCCGUAAUCAUCAGGGCUGGAAGUUAUUUUCCCCUGUAACUUUUAACUUAAAAUCUUAUUUAGGGGAACAAAGACUUUCUGUUUCUAGUCACUUAUGGAGUCUCUUUGUGGAUUUCAAGAAUUAAACAGUUGUUUGAAAUGUACGUAUUGCUUUUAUGUACAUGUCUCUAGAUUUCAGUAUAGUAUAAAAGACUGGGAAAUACCACACGUGUAGUUCCAAAUACUUUACAUACUGUAUGUAUUAUGUUUGUAUUUUACAUAUUUGUAUUUGAACUGAUUUGUUAAGUAGUAUUUAAGUAUUUAGUUUUUAAGUAAUAAGUAUUAAGUAUUUAAGUAAGGAGCCAGUCAAAACUAAAACCUUUCUGUAGAAUUUUGCAGGAAACCCACUCAGGGUAGAACCUGUGCCUUCGGUAACCAAGUCCACCUUAACCAAGGUCUUUCAAAAUGUAUUAGAAGUUCAUUUUCAAGGUCAGAACCCUAUGUAUAUGCUACUCUCAGACAUUGACCUCAGUUGGAUUUUAUGUCAGAGUCCGCACAUCAGCAACAUGUCACCUGGCAUGGAGGAAAGAAGACUCUUUUUGUAAGUGACAGAACGUUUUGUAAGUGACAGAAAAACACCUGUAACUAAUUUCGACAGUGAAAGGCAUUUAUCGACUCACAUAAUUAAAAGUCUCAAGACAGAUAGCCUUCAGACAAGGUUUGAGCUGACAAUUCAGACAUCACCAGGAGGAGACCAUCUUCUGGUUGGUUCCCCAGGGCAUCCCACCACCCUCUACCCACCCCGGAGCUUCAGGUAGCCAUAUGGAGGCAGCAUUCUAAGAUCUCACCUCUCCAUGCCUUCCAGGGUAACUAGCUCCUUCAUAAGUUGUGGGAUGCACAGUCUUUGACCAAAAUCACGCACAUGUCCAUCCCUGGACCUAUCUCUGUGGCCAAAGGUAUGAAACAUGUCUGUAGUCUCAAAUUACCCCUCUCCUUCCCAGAGAUGAAAUCUAUCCUUUGUGCAGGGGUGAAGUCCCUGAUGGCAGCAGAUGGAAUAAUGGAUAUAGAAAAGGCAGUCAUCCGAAACCCAUGAUGCCCUUCCUCUCCAUGCUCUUUCCUUUCCUAUCACCUUUUAGUUGGAGACACAUAGAUGUAAAACAAAAUGAAACAAAACUAUACAAAACAAAACAGCCCCCCAGAUCUUGACAGCCUAUUUGACUGCUUUCCAGUGGGGGUCCUCCAAGGUAACCUGUUGUCUCUGACCAUUUCCAUAUGGCAAAAAGGAUGUUUGUACUCUUUCUUGCUGAUGUAAUUCAUUUAUUUUACUUACUCAUUUGCUCAUUCAAUAUAUGCUUCUUUGCCAGGUAGUGUGGUUUUUUUCCCCUCAUCUUUUCUCUUAGGACCAAGUGAAGGAGCUGGGCCUGGUGGGAAGAGUUGAACCCAUGUAAAGCCGGUGUGCUUAGAAAUGUUUGAGAAAUUUUCCCUGCUAAUAUGCAAGCCUGCGGAGGCCUGCCUUAUGGACUUAUAACUCCGCCCACUCUUACCUACAAAUGCCUGGGGAUUUUUAAGAUUGUUAAUUAACGACUCAAAGAUAAUCCUUCGGAAGCCCCACUUGUCAAACCAAGUAUGUUUCCAUGGUAUUUUACAAUUCUCUCCUAGAGAACAAGGUAAUCACUGCCACUUAUUGGAGCACCUAGCAGACAAAAUGUUAUUUAUUUUACUUACAUUAUUUUAUUAAGUCUUUACAACAAAACGCCAAGGUAGGAAUUGAUUUCACCCAUGACAAAAUGAAGGACUGGGGAGGUCAAGUAAACUUCUCAAGGUAGAAAGUGACAAGGGGGCGCCUAGGUGGCUCAGCCAGUUAAGCAUCCGACUCUUGAUAUCAGCUCAGGUCAUGAUCUCAUGGCUCUUGGGAUCGAGCCCUGUGUCAGGGUCUGUGCUGAUGGAGUGGAGCCUACUUGGGAUUAUCUCUCUCCUCUCUCUCUGCCCCUCCGCCUGCUCGCGCUCUCUCUCUCUCAAAAUAAACAAAUAAACUUUAAAGAAAGAAAGAAAGAUAGGAAGAAAGAAAGAAAGAAAGAAAGAAGAAAGAAAGAACCAGGAUGUAAACUCAGAUCUGUCCAAAGCCAAGCCAAUGCUUAUUCCUUGAGCUUAUCGCUUCCAUAGGUAUGCUGUACUCUGUUAGUAAAUGUCAAGUCUUAUUUUCAUUAUUAGGUCGCACUUAACCCCAUUCACCACAUCAGAGUCUAUUCAGUUCAAUUAGUAAGUGUGACAGAGACCCUUCCUGAGUUCACAUUAUAGUUGGGGAAUGAGACUCGCAGAGACAUCUCUACUCUUGGUUGUCAGAGCAAAUUGUAAAAUAUAGCUGAAUGUCAAAUGGAGUGCUGUCAACACUUAGAACCACAGCAUUAAAAUACCAAUGCUAUCGAUAGUAAGUACCCGACCAUACACUGUUCCUACGAUUUCUUUUUCUUUUCACAAUUGUUGGAAGAAAUCUUUUUCUUUUUUUGCCCUGCCUCACUGUUCCGCACGGGGGAACUCCCAUCAGAGCAAUGUGCCUGCCCUAGAAAUGAGUUCUCUGGGGCGCCUGGGUGGCUCAGUCAGUUAGGCGACCGACCUCGGCUCAGGUCAUGAUCUCGCAGAUCGUGAGUUCAAGCCCCUCAUCGGGCUCUGUGCUGAUAGCUCCAAACCUGGGGACUGCUUCGGAUUCCAGGUCUCCCUCUCUCUCUCUGCCCCUCCCCUGCUUGCACUCUGUCUCUCAAAAAUGAAUAAACGUUAAAAAAAAAAAUUAGAAAUGAGUUCUCUGAUUGGUGAAUGACAAGGAUCCCACGGCAAAUGGUGCACGUCCCUUGACAGAAUAAAAGUCAACCACUUAAAAUCUGCAAGGCUGCAAAUCAUCAAAGAUUCAUGCUCUUCCCUCUGCCAGACCAGAGCAAGGCAGUGAUUCCCAGAUAUCUGCUCAGGUGCUCGGUUCCGUAGUUCAGACUGCGGUGUGGGCAUAGAACAUUAGCCAGCCCUGCCCUUUUGGUGGCAGGUAUAAAUCCAUAUUCUGCAAUCAGCUGCCACUUUCACAUCCGUCUGUUGGUCUCCUGUGUCCUCUUUCUCAGAUGCUUCAGAGCGCCAUAGGGGAAGAAGGGAGUGUUAUUGUUUACUGACCUCUUAAAACUCCCCAGAUAUAAAACAUCUAUUUUCUUCUUUAUUUAAAAUUCAGCAACCAUCAUGGCUUAUUACGGAGUCAAAGACACUCAGUGUAAAACAUCUUUGUUAAUAUUUCAAUUUGCCUUGUAAGUGCUCAGCAAUGAUUUACCAAGAAACCCUUUUUAAGACAUGUGCCUACUUUUCCUAGGGCUCUUGGCAGUUUAUGACCGUGGUAAAGGUGUGUGGCCACCUACAUCCAGCCCUCUACCCACUCUGAUUUCAGUCACAGCUGGUGGAUGGUUCUCUGUGAGCUCAGACUGUACCGCCUCCGGGGCCACCUCUCAAUUAAACUACCUGCACUCAAAUCCUGGUUCUGCCUUUGGAGAGACCCAAAGUAAAGUAAUGACAAAAGAGGAUACACUCUACCGAGAAGAAGCAGACUCCUCCUUCCUUGUGGUAGGUGAUCCCAUCCCAACCUAUCCCGAUACACGAGGCAUAUUACACGCACAUCCACACCCACAUACACAUGUGUGCACAUGCAGAUACCACACACACACGUAUACUCACACAGACACACAGAGAUACCUACACACACAAACACGCAUGUGCAGAUACAGAUUAAACACACACGGUGACGCACAUCCAUCAGGCUUCCGGUCAUCGCCUCUGGCCAGAUUUCGUUGUUACCACCUAAGGGCGUAAAGAAACACCACCUCGCCAUCGAAACCAUGUCCCUGAAUGCUGGCCUGGGCUUUUCCGGCUAUACUCUCAACUUGUCCUGUUUACUACAAUCAAGCAACUGGUUCAAGGGGAAGACGACAUCUUAUAACACUGCGGGAAGAUGUCAAGGUCUUUGUUGUGCUGAAUUACAGAUACAGUUCCAAGUUCCCCUGUUGGCUUAUCCCAACUUUGAACAGUGAAGCAAUACUUUCUGACAUUUACUGCCAUCCUUUUCCCAGUUUAGCCAACAGCUUUAUUUUUGCAUCCCGACCCAUACGUUGUUCCUGGUCACCUUCCUCGUCAUUCUUUGGUUUGGGAUGUUGCUGUUGAGUUCCCCUUGUGUUUUUGGAGGAAUAUUUUUUUGUUUCCCAUUUAGGUUCCAGGACUAUUGCUUGAGGUGCUUGCUGAGACCAUUCCUUUGGAAGCAGCUUCCCACACAACCUGUCCCGUGGUCUCACCUAAGCCACAGCCUAGAAUCUGCUCCCAUUUUAUUCCCACGGUAGACUCUUUUCCUCAGAGUCUUGAUAUUUGGCUCCCUGUCACAGGUUGGGUUCACCAGAAGCAUACACUGAGAUUAUCACACAAUGAGUUUUUCAGGGACUGUCCUAGAGAUCAACAACUAGGUGAGGAACAAAAGUGGGCAAAGACAGGCGUGCGGCCGCACAAAUGCAACAGGGCCUCAGCCCACAGAGUCCUGAAGCUGAGAAGGCUCUUCAGAGUUGUCCUGACUUGAGUUGGCCCUGAUUAUCUCCUCGUAGGCCAGUCAUUGGAUGCGGGCUGCUCUGGGAAGAGAUAGUGGCUGGGCUUUGACUCAGUCCUAAAGAGGGCUGACAGCUGAGGGCUAUGGGCUGCCAACAUUCUCAGCAGCUGAAGAAACAAAUCCUUCAGCCCUGAGGGAGUGGGGGAGGGAUCUGGGGAGCAGAGCGCACCCCCCAUAAUCCCUCAUUCUUCCACCAGCCAUUCUCCAAGUGCUGGGCCCUGGGCUCUGUCUAUAGAUCUUCCAGGUGAAAACCAAAGACUCAGCAACAUCUUAAAAAACAAGCAGAAACCCCUUCAAAAAUUGUGGUACAACGUAGUCUUACUUUUUUACAAAACAGAAACUGAAAUGUUAAAUCUUUUUUGUUUGGGAUAAACGAAACGAAAGUCUACGUUCCAAAAUAUAUUUCUGAAACCCAAGGCAUUCUUUUCCAGCUACACUAAACUUUGUGAAUUCCAUAGGAAAUGGAAACUUUUCCCCCCAAAUAAACCUUGAAGCAGUUUGAAAAUAAAGAGGACCUUCCUUUUGAACCGAUGCUAAAAGUCAAGCAGGCCCACAGGCCCUGUGAACCAAACUUUUUAAGAGUUCAAAAUUUGAGAAGAUUGUAACAGCAGAUGUACGGAAGUCUGUGGCAGGGUUUUUAAGUAACUAAGGGAGUAAACUCCCACUUAGAAAAUUAUGCAUUUUUUUUUUCUGAACUUAAAAAUACAUUCAUACAUUUUCUUUUGUAAAUUUUUUAAUUUUUUUGUGUUUGAGGGAGAGAGAGAGCACGCACACACACACACACACACACGGGGGAGGGGCAGAGAGGGAGGGAGAGAGAGAAUCCUAAGCAGGUUUCGUGCUGUCAGCACCGAGCCUAACUCAAAGCUCAAACCUGUGAAUGAUGAGAUCAUGACCUGAGCCGAAAUAGUUGGACAGUCAACCGACUGAGCCACCCAGGUGCCCCACAUUCCUACAUUUUCUAACUUAAAAUGCGUUAAAAUGUCUUUCAGACAUUAUAAACUUAUGUGAAGACAGGAGUACAAACUCAUCUGGAGGUAUGAACAACUCAAUAUUAAGUCAUUGUUGUGGGUUGAGUCGUGGAAUCCCCCCAAGUCCCAAAAAAGGCUAUACUGAAGUCCUAACCCCUAGUACCUCAGAGUGUGACUUUUUUUCAGAGAUAGAAUCUUUCCAGAGGUAAUCAAGUGAAAAAAUGGGGUCAUUAGGGUGGGCCUUAAUCUAAUACAACUGGCGUUUCCAUAAAAAGGGGCGUUGGGGUCAGAAAGGAAAACAGACACAGAGGGAGAGCCAUCUGAAGAUACUAGGGGAAUGCCAUCUACAAGCCAAGGAAUGCCCAAGGCCACCAGAAGCUGGGAGAGAAGACACAGAACAGAUUCUCCCUCAUGGCUCUUGAAGGAACCGACCAUGCAGACACCUUGAUUUUGGACUUCUGGCCUCCAGAACUGUGAGAUGAUGAAUGUCUGUUGUUUUAGCCACAUAUUUGGUGGUACCUUGUGACUGCGGCCCCAGGAAACCAACACAGCUACUCUGACAGCAUCUUCUCCAUUCAGCUCACAUUUCCUUCUUGCAUGAAGGCGGCUCAGAAGUCAAAUGGACUUGAUCUUGGUUCAAUCAUUUGGGCGAGUUUCUUAAUAUCGCCAAGACUAUUUCCUCAUAUAAACUAAGAACAUUAAUAAUACCUACUAGAGGGUUCUUUGGAUUAUUAAAAGAGCUAAAAUAAAUAAGAUCCUCCUUUUCUAGGUGUUAUAAAUUCAAGGGCUGAGGCUCUUGACAGCCCAGUUGACUAUCUUUCAAAAAAUGUUUAUAAAUCUAUUGGCGGUCAGGCUGGUCCUUGUAAUUUGUAUGCCUCCUAGAGAUUCAAGUUCAGCAUCACUUCCUCUGUCCAUUAGUGACCAUUAAUAAUAUUGCUGUUAUUUCUGGGGCGCCUGGGUGGCUCGGUCGGUUAAGCGUCCGACUUCGGCUCAGGUCAUGAUCUCACGGUCCGUGGGUUCGAGCCCCGCAUCGGGCUCCGUGCUGACAGCUCAGAGCCUGGAGCCUGUUUCAGAUUCUGUGUCUCCCUCUCUCUGUGACCCUCCCCUGUUCAUGCUCUGUCUCUCUCUAUCUCAAAAAUAAAUAAAUGUUAAAAAAAAUUAAAAAAAACAAUAUUGCUGUUAUUUCUUAAAAUAUAUAUACCAUUUAAAAUAUAAAUAUAUUAUGUGUGUGUGUGUGUGUGUGUUGCUAUUAUUUCUCUUUAACUCUCAGUGAUCAAAACUGUUAAGCUUCUGAAACGAAACAAUUAUUUAUGUUUUGAGGAAGUCAUAAAUCAGAAAGACAACCUUAGAGCAAGCACCCAGCCUUUCUUGACAUGUCAUAGUGGAUCAGUCAUGGGUCACUGUAGAUUAAUUAGCAGUGUGGGUCACAGUCAGGGAGUCACCCAGCCGGGGACCAGCUUCCAGCCUUUUUAGAGCCAGAUAUGUACAUGGCUUAAAUGUAUUUUUAAAACCAGAUAAUCAUCGUUGCUUUGUGUGGCACAGACUCUUUCAAAUAAUGCCCAGACAUUACGAAACUUCAUCCAGAUGAUCUUUGGACUGUUGGUUAUAUUUGAUUAUUUGAACUAUUUUUCAUUCAUUGACAGAGAUAAUAAAAUACUGAUUAAGCCACAGUGAGAUGCCACUUCACACCUACUAGGAUGGAUACAACGUAAGAAAAAAGAAAGGGAAAAUAGCAAGUGUUGGUGAGGAUACGGAGAAAUUGGAAUCCGUGCACCUUGCCGGUGGAAGCGUAACGGUGCGAUGCUGUGAAAAAGUUUGGUGGUUUCCCCAAAAAGUUUAACACAGAAUUACGAUAUGACCCAGCAAUGCCGGGUCAAUAUGCCCCCCAAAAUUGGAAGCAGGGACUCAAAGAGAUACUUGUGCACCAGUGUUUAUAGUCGCAUCAUUCACAAUAGCCACAAGACGGAAACAACCCCUGUGUCGAUCAACAGAUGAAAGGGGGAAACAGCAUGCUGUACGUGCCCACGCUGGACUAUUAUUCAGCCAUAAAAAAGGAGUGAAGCUCUGAUACAUCUCGCAACACGGAUCAACUCUGAGAACGUUAUACCAGCUGAAAUAAGCCAGACACAAAAGAACAAAUAUGUACGAUUCCACUUACAUGAGAUAUCUAGAAUAGGCAAAUUUACAGGCUCAACAAAGUAGACUCGAGGUUGCCAGGGGUGGGGGGUGUGGGAGGAUGGGAGUUAAUUGCUUGAUGGGUACAGAGUUGCUAUUUGGGGUGAUGGAAAAUUUUAGAAAGGGAUGGUGAUAAUGGCUGUACAACAUCGUGCAUGUGAUUAAUGCCGCUGAACUGCACUUACCGAUGGCAAAUCUCAUGCUGUCUAUCCUUUAUUACAGUAAGAUAAAAAGGAAAGUUGAUUAUAUAAUUCUUCUAUUCUUUUCACACGGAACCUGGGACAUGAACCGAGGAGCUCUAUACACAUUGGAUCAUCUCACGUCACCUUUGUCUUCACACAGUGUCAUGAGAUUUUAUUUUUACGUAAUCUCUGCACCCAUUGUGGGGCUUGAACUCACGACCCCGAGAUCAAGAGUUACGUGCUCCAGCAACUGAGCCAGCAGAGCAUCCCCAAAGCGUUGGUUAUCUUCACUCCCAAUCUGCAGCGUUAGCAGCUAGGAGGUGGAGUGGGGAGGGGAGGGAGCAGUUUUCCUAAAGAGGACUGCAAAUGGCUAUGAGGAAGAGAAUCUGCCCCUCCUGGUGUGUGGCAUCCUUACUGCACCCUUCUGUGUCUCGUCCCUUCCCCUUUGUCUUCUUUUUGACUCCUCAUCAUUUACUGGACUUUUAAACGUUGGCCAUACCCAGGGUUCUGUCCUUCUCACUUCCCUUUUCAUAUUGUACAUCCCUGUGACUGACCCAUCCACGCACAUGGCUUCAGCUACCCCUGGUCCCCAAUGACAUAUUCCAGUCCUGACAGCUCUUAGAGCCAUUAUAUUGUCUCCAGUUGGAUGUCCCCAACUGUAUCCAUCAUCUUGUUCCGAAACCUUAGUUUCUGCUGGAAUGACCGCAUUAACCAAGCAGUCACCCAAGCCAGAAACCUUGGAACCCUCUUGGACUCUCCCCUUUUCUCCUCUGUCUCCGUCUCCAUCUCUGUCUCCGUCUCCUCCUUCUCCCUCUCCGUCUCCUCCUUCUCCCUCUCCUUCUCCCUCUCCUCCUUCUCCCUCUCCUCCUUCUCCCUCUCCCUCUCCUCCUUCUCCCUCUCCUCCUUCUCCCUCUCCCUCUCGCUCUCCCUCUCCUCCUUCUCCCUCUCCCUCUCCUCCUUCUCCCUCUCCCUCUCCCUCUCCCUCUCCUCCUUCUCCUUCUCUCUCUCCCUCUCCUCCUUCUCCUUCUCCUUCUUUUCACCCUCCCUAGUUUUUCUGUCCUGUCAAUUCUAUCUCUGUUACAUGGCUAAUCAUUUUCUUUUCUUUCUCCCACUGUGCUUUGUUCAAUUCCUCCCUAUCAAAACCUACCAGGAUGAAGUGGACUGUAUUUGUCUCCUUGCCUCCAGGCGUAUUUCUCUGCAAUCGUUCUCCAGAAAAUGAUUGGAUGAAUGAAACCACACCUGGUCAUAUUUUUCUUCUGCCUUAAAGCUUUCAGGGGCUAAUGCUUGCUUGCAAGAUAACUUUCAAACAUCCAGGCUUGAUAUGGCCGACAAGUUCAUUCGUGUUCUCGGGGCCACUUUCCUAUACAUACCCUGAGCUGUAGUUAUCCCCGUCAGCUUAAAAUUCCAAAAAUGCACCUUGGCCCCUCUUGCCUUUGUGCUUUGAUAUGUAUUGUUCUCUCCGCCUGGAAUGUCCAUCUAACCCCUCAUCCCCCACCUCUCCCUAAACCUUACAUGUCCUUAGGGAUAUAGCUUAAAUAUAUUCUUUUAGAACUAGGCAUGUCCUGACGGCCCUGGGCUAAUUUUGAAGUUUCUCCUUCAUAACUUUCCUCUAUUAGCCCUAUCAGUAGGGUGCAGAACUCUACUCUACUCUUUAUCAUGAUGUCUUACUACUGAUUUUCCUGGACAGCACUAUCACAAGGCUACUGAGUACAGGUAGGAACUGGGUCAAGCCAUUUGCUACGGAGAAGGAAUGAAACACAUGUUGAAUAAAUGCUCCUUGCCUGGAAAAUUGUCCUUCCUCAGUCCACAUCAUAGGGGGUCAUCAGGCAAUCCCUCCCAGUGCUAAUAGCAAUGCCCCGAGAGCUUCUUGAGACUCCAAGGUUGAAAAGAGAAAUUGGUUGAGAACCAAAAGCCAGAGCAUGGCAGACAGACAUUAGAGACAUAAAAAAGAGAGUAACGGUAAUGAAACUUGAUGAUUCAGUGUGACUGUUUGUCGGGGAAACUGGUAGACAUUUCUCGUUUUUGCUUUCCAGAAAUGUUUUCCCUUUGUACCUUGCUUUGUAUGUCUUUGGAACGCCAACCCUUCUCCAUCGACCCAGCCCUUGGGUUCAGGUGGGACUGAUCUCCGGUUUCCACACCACUGGUAGACACAUGCCCCAGGCCUGUCCAGUCAGUGUUCCAUUUCCCUUUCCCAGCAGUUGGCUCGGGCAUAGGCUCAUGAACCAACCCGGACACUGAAUGACGCUAAGCGCCAGGACUUUCCUCUGGAGCGAAAUGGAAAUUUUCUGUUUUCGCUGAGGUUGGUUGCUGGAACUCUAAGAUAGAAUUACAAACCUGCAGUGGCUGUUUGCCAGCUUGGUCUUCUUCUUGUGGGAAAAGAUUUGAGAAUGAAGCCCGUGGCAAAAGGAGGAAGAGCCGCGGGGCAGAGAAACAAAUUGCUGAUGAUAACGUUUGAGCGCCAAAUCCAACUUUGCAUGAAGUGAAAGCCUGUUUUGUUUUGUUGCUUGUCAUAAAAUAAAUUCUCCUUUUUGAAUAAGGUAAUCCAGUCUGGGUAUCUGUCACUGACACCCAAGGAGGCUUUAUUAGUUCUGAAAUCAGGGUAGUCAGCAAAUCUAGAAAAAAAAAAAAAAUGAAUGCACAGACCCCUGGUUCUGUGGUCCUGUGACAAGGGUAUGUUUCCUUCCAUCUAAAUCAUUUCACCCGGUGACCCUCUGGGCUUGAGGUCAUUGACCCUCUGGACAUGUAGCAGAGGAAAGAGUACCCUAGAGGGAGUUCUGGGUCUCAAACUAUGGCCCACCUAGAUGGGGCACAUCUAUGAGCCACCUGGGUGGCGCAGUUGUUAAGCAUCUGAUUCUUGGUUUCCCCUCAGGGCAUGACCUCACUGUUCCUGAGGUUGGGCUCUCGGCCGACAGGGCAGAGGCUGCUUAGGAUUCCCUCUCUUUCUCUCUCUGUCCCUCCCCUGGCUCUCUCUCUCUCAAAAUAAAUUUAAAAAAUUAAAAACAAAACACAAAAAACAAAAAAGCCCACAGAUGGGGCACAUUUGGUGCCCAUCCCAUUCUCACUCACCAAAAACAUGUUUCAAAAUUGAUUUUGUUUCAUAUUAAUUUUAAUUACUAUGCACACUUGAAUACAUUCUUCUGGUAGACAUUGAAAUAUAGAGAAUGCAAAAAGUCCCCCGUCUUUUCCUUGAUCAUCCCCCUCCAGAUGCCACCCCAUAUUCAGUUUGCAUUUUUAAACACUUAUAACCCAGUAUGGAUGCAAAAAAGAACGUCGAGGUUUGUUUUACAUGGUGGCUAUGGACUGAAUGGAAUCUGUCUGCAUCCACAUGAAGGGUAAAGGCCCAGCUACAGAAUCACCUCCCCUCUCUCUCUGUCCCCCAACCCCAAGGAUAUCUCAACUUGCUCCUUCCUUCAAAUCCCUUCUAGUAAUUUAGCAGUCCUCUCCAAAAGGUAGCUACUGAGCAGUGUCCGGGUAAAAGAAGAAUAAACUAUACUAUGGAUUUUCUCAUUUUUUUUUCCCAUUCAUUUUUAAAAAUUACAUAAGUAAUAUAUAAAUAGGUGCUUAAUGUAAAAGAUCCAGAAAAUACAGAAAUAUAAGGAACAAAAGGGUAAACUCCAGCCUCACUUUACCAUCUCCCCUCCACAUUCUCCGCCCCUCCUCCCCCCCCCCCCCCAAUUAUGUUGUGUACUUUCCAGGUCCUUUUUUCUUUCCACUUUCAUUAUGUGUCUUGCAAAGCAACAGUAUAUUUUAGAAACUUUUCCGCGUCACUGUCCUACAACUAAAGGAUUAGAAAAAACCAGAAAAUGCCUUUAGGUAAUGAGAUACAGGAUAGGCAAGUUUCAAAGGGUGAGGAGGGGCAGGAAAUCUUUGUACACAAGCCUGAAUAAGGAGGGCUGGGCUGUCAGCGUGUUGAGUGUGUAUGGGGCUAAGGACUCAGCAGGGCCAGGCCAAAAGCAAGCCUUCCUGCCUUCCCAGGUUUUCCGUCCCUGCUUUUCAAAUCCUGUUAGUGUCACUGGGGUAUUUAUUUUAAUAAUUAAAAUAAUAUGCACGUAAAACACUGAUUCAAUACAUGAGUGCUAUUUUCUCAUCUUAACAUUUUGACUUAGAGAAUCGUCAAUGGACACUUCACGCCAUUCAGCCAGUUAAUCAGGACAGAGGAGGAAAGAGUGACUCAGACAGAAGACGUGUCUAAAAGGAAACACUGCAUUGACUUCUUUUUUACCGUGUUUACUCAGAAACCUGAGCUUGCCUGACCUAGUGCAGGAAGAAAAGGAAGCCCUGGAAAUACGAUUCCUGCUCUACAGAGAUGGGAAGGUAGCAUGUAGGCAGACUCCUGGUAAAAGGCUGAAUGAGUCUGUUUACGAAAGAUAUAACUCUCGAUUUCCCAAGAGUGAGAAGCUACCUUCCAAGGCUUCAGUGAAUUUCAAUUUGAAAAUCUCCUUUCAUUUUCCUGUGUGUGUAUUAGGACGUUUGAGUUGUGAAUGACCCAACACUGGCUUCAGCAAGCACACACAUGUCCUGACUCAUUUUACCCAUCAAGAUAGUGGUCGAUGCUGACCUCAAGAACCACCACCUUUGGGGGUGUCUCACCUUCAUUUCUUCCCUGGGUUGUGCUGGCCUGAUGGUUUCUGAGAGAGAGUUGAUUUGGACUCGGUAAACUUCGGGCUUAAACCAUCCCAACUCAGCCUCUGUAUAAAGAAGCAAAAUGCUAGAGUUGGAAUGACUGGGCCUGCUCAGAUCAUGUGACUGCCCUUAAACCAAACCGUAGGUAUGGAGGUAUUGAGGGAUAGGACGUUCUGAUGGCAGGUUGGGGUUUUUACUCACCUCCGUGGCCAGUGUGGGGAAGGUUUGGUCACCAGAAACACAACGCACAGGAUGGCGAGGAGCCCGUUCUCAAAGGGAAGUGGUGGCUUUUUUUUUCUUUUUUAAAUAAUGUUUUUAUUUUAUUUAUUUUUGAGAGAGAGAGAGAGAGAGCGAGGUCUUUGUUAUAGCCUAAAGUAUUGAGGGAAACUACUAUUUUUCAGAGCUGCUUUGAUAGCGGCAAUAAGAAGUGUUACAUUGGACGGGGUACCUGGCUGCCUCAAUUGGUAGGGCAUGUGACCGCUGAUCUUGCGGUCAUGAGUUCAAGCCCCACGUUUGGCAUACCGAUUACUUAAGUGCCCAGGCACUAGAAAUUGGAGAUGCUCUAUUGGGUCUCUGGGCCUGUGGUUUUUUUCUCCUUUCGAUGCCUGGCUCGUCUCAGUGGCCAGCAUAUCUCCAGCUGGUGGUAGACAGGCUGACACCAAUGGUGAAUCAGUGCUUCUCAGACUCACAGGAAUCACCUAGGGAUCUUGUUAUGUUACAAUGCAGAUUCUGAUUCAGUAGAUCUGGGGAAGGGCUGGAGAGGCUGCAUUUCGACUAAAUUCCUGGGUGAAGUUGAUGUUGCCUGACCAUGGGAACACAUUUUGAGCAACAAGGUAUUAAAAUCAUGGGAAGGCUUUCCUAAAUAAAUUAGGUGCCCUCACUGUGCUUUUAACCUUUGAUAUUUUCAGCA